UAGAAGGGGAGGGGGGCCUCCCCUAUAUUUGCUAUACAGGUGUUCGGCUGUGCAUUCGGACUACCAUUGGAUUGAAUAAAUCAGCCAGCUUACGUGAAGUACUAACCUAACUGCGAGGUUCAUGGAUCGAAAAUGAAACAUGACUUUCCCAUUGAAUAACUUAUUCACCAGAGAAGAUAAUGUUCUGUCUUAAAUACUUGGAAAGUUUAGUUGGAUAGUCGGUCAUUACACCAGCCACUUUUAGUUCAUCAAAUGCAAGUUCAAAUUCAUCUUCAUCAUUUAGCACCCAAAGGUGUUUAAACAGACUUGGUCGGAUUAGUAGCCUUAUUUGUAUGAAAGUAAAGAAAUUUAUAAACUUUAGGUCUCACUUUUUGACAACGUUGGUAAUAAUAAUACAGAAGAAGAAAUAAAGUUCAAAUUAGCGAAAA